UUACAAAUAAAGGUCAACUGUCAUGUGUCACGUUCUGAUUGGACAUGAAAAUGUAUGUCUAAGAAUCAACUUUAAUAUUUUUCUAUUCAUUGUCCAAUCAGAACGUGAUCGUGACCGUCAAUGUUU
rfam:Glycine soja cultivar W05 scaffold1063_20, whole genome shotgun sequence.